rnacentral:rRNA from 1 species
CACAAGCAGCGGAGCGUGUGGUUUAAUUCGAUGCUACACGAAGAACCUUACCCGGGUUUGACAUACAGGUGGUAGGGAACUGAAAAGGGACGACCCUUCGGGGAGCCUGAACAGGUGCUGCAUGGCUGUCGUCAGCUCGUGUCGUGAGAUGUCCGGUUAAGUCCGGUAACGAGCGCAACCCUUGCCGUAUGUUACAAGUGUCAUACGGGACUGCCGGUAUCAAGCCGGGGGAAGGUGGGGAUGACGUCAAGUCAGCAUGGCCUUUAUAUCCGGGGCUACACACACGCUACAAUGGUCAGUACAACAGGUUGCAAAGCCGCGAGGUGGAGCCAAUCCAUAAAGCUGGCCUCAGUUCAGAUUGCAGGCUGCAACUCGCCUGCAUGAAGUUGGAGUUGCUAGUAACCGCGCGUCAGCUAUAGUGCGGUGAAUACGUUCCCGGGCCUU